CCUCGGGAUAUUGAACCAUGGAUCUCACCCCGGCAAGAGCCUUCUGCAAUUUUUCCUCGGUUUGUUUUCUGCCUUCUUUUAGAAAAUCAAACUCAUCUUCUUGCACGGGUUGGGCUUGAAUGCUAGAGGGUCGGGUAGGGAAAGAGAUGUAGA